rnacentral:rRNA from 1 species
AUACGUAGGGUGCAAGCGUUAAUCGGAAUUACUGGGCGUAAAGCGUGCGCAGGCGGUUUUGUAAGACAGAGGUGAAAUCCCCGGGCUCAACCUGGGAACUGCCUUUGUGACUGCAAGGCUAGAGUACGGCAGAGGGGGAUGGAAUUCCGCGUGUAGCAGUGAAAUGCGUAGAUAUGCGGAGGAACACCGAUGGCGAAGGCAAUCCCCUGGGCCUGUACUGACGCUCAUGCACGAAAGCGUGGGGAGCAAACAGGAUUAGAUACCCUGGUAGUCCACGCCCUAAACGAUGUCAACUGGUUGUUGGGUCUUCAUUGACUCAGUAACGAAGCUAACGCGUGAAAUUGACCGCCUGGGGAGUACGGCCGCAAGGUUGAAACUCAAAUGAAUUGACGGGG